AAUCAACGCUGGCGGCGUGCCUAACACAUGCAAGUCGAACGAGAAAGGGGAGCAAUCCCUGAGUAAAGUGGCGCACGGGUGAGUAACACGUGACUAACCUACCCUGGAGUGGGGGAUAACUGAGGGAAACCUUAGCUAAUACCGCAUAAUACCUACGGGUCAAAGGGGCAAUUCGCUCUGGGAGGGGGUCGCGGCCGAUUAGUUAGUUGGCGGGGUAAUGGCCCACCAAGACGAUGAUCGGUAUCCGGCCUGAGAGGGCGCACGGACACACUGGAAC
rnacentral:rRNA from 1 species